ACGAACGCUGGCGGCGUGCUUCACCCCUGCAAGUCGAACGGAAAGGCCCUGCUUUUGUGGGGUGCUCGAGUGGCGAACGGGUGAGUAACACGUGAGUAACCUGCCCUUGACUUUGGGAUAACUUCAGGAAACUGGGGCUAAUACCGGAUAGGAGCUCCUGCUGCAUGGUGGGGGUUGGAAAGUUUCGGCGGUUGGGGAUGGACUCGCGGCUUAUCAGCUUGUUGGUGGGGUAGUGGCUUACCAAGGCUUUGACGGGUAGCCGGCCUGAGAGGGUGACCGGCCACAUUGGGACUGAGAUACGGCCCAGACUCCUACGGGAGGCAGCAGUGGGGAAUAUUGCACAAUGGGCGGAAGCCUGAUGCAGCAACGACGCGUGCGGGAUGACGGCCUUCGGGUUGUAAACCGCUUUCGCCUGUGACGAAGCGUGAGUGACGGUAAUGGGUAAAGAAGCACCGGCUAACUACGUG
rnacentral:rRNA from 1 species